AGCUUUGUACCAUGGCAGUGUCAUAGCCAGUGAGGUUUAUCUGAGCUGCAAUUAUUGCUAAUUGAAAACUUUUCCCAAUACCCUGACAUGAUGACUUGAAAUACAGUUGGCUUUGGCAAUUUUUGACAGUCUCUAUGGAGA